UACGGAGGGAGCUAGCGUUGUUCGGAAUUACUGGGCGUAAAGCGCGCGUAGGCGGCUUUGUAAGUUAGAGGUGAAAGCCCGGGGCUCAACUCCGGAAUUGCCUUUAAGACUGCAUCGCUAGAAUCCGGGAGAGGUGAGUGGAAUUCCGAGUGUAGAGGUGAAAUUCGUAGAUAUUCGGAAGAACACCAAUGGCGAAGGCAGCUCGCUGGGACGUUACUGACGCUGAGACGCGAAAGCGUGGGGAGCAAACAGG
rnacentral:rRNA from 1 species